rnacentral:rRNA from 1 species
CAGUCGAGAAUCUUCGGCAAUGGGCGCAAGCCUGACCGAGCGACGCCGCGUGGAGGAUGAAGGCCUUCGGGUUGUAAACUCCUGUCGAGGGGGAGGAAGGGGCAACCUUGACCGAUCCCUGGAGGAAGCACGGGCUAAGUUCGUGCCAGCAGCCGCGGUAAGACGAACCGUGCAAACGUUAUUCGGAAUCACUGGGCUUAAAGCGCGUGUAGGCGGAUGGGAACGUCGGAACCUGAAAGCCCCCGGCUCAACCGGGGAAGUGGGGCCGAAACGACCCGUCUCGAGGGACGUAGGGGGAUCUGGAACUUCCGGUGGAGCGGUGAAAUGCGUUGAGAUCGGAAGGAACGCCCGUGGCGAAAGCGAGAUCCUGGACGUUUUCUGACGCUGAGACGCGAAAGCUAGGGGAGCAAACGGGAUUAGA